rnacentral:rRNA from 1 species
CUUAGGGUCGUAAAGCACUUUCGCCAGAGAUGAUAAUGACAGUAUCUGGUAAAGAAACCCCGGCUAACUCCGUGCCAGCAGCCGCGGUAAUACGGAGGGGGUUAGCGUUGUUCGGAAUUACUGGGCGUAAAGCGCACGUAGGCGGAUUAGUAAGUUAGUGGUGAAAUCCCAGGGCUCAACCCUGGAACUGCCUUUAAUACUGCUAGUCUAGAGUUCGAGAGAGGUAAGUGGAAUUCCGAGUGUAGAGGUGAAGUUCGUAGAUAUUUGGAGGAACACCAGUGGCGAAGGCGGCUCACUGGCUCGAUACUGACGCUGAGGUGCGAAAGUGUGGGGAGCAAACAGGAUUAGAUACCCUGGUAGUCCACACCGUAAACGAUGAAUGCCAGUCGUCGGCAAGUAUACUUGUCGGUGACACACCUAACGGAUUAAGCAUUCCGCCUGGGGAGUACGGUCGCAAGAUUAAAACUCAAAGGAAUUGACGGGGGCCCGCACAAGCGGUGGAGCAUGUGGUUUAAUUCGAAGC